CAGGCAUUGUUGAAAUGAACUUGACAGUUCUGAUCCCAUUGAAAAUGGUUGGGUUGCAUAUGAAAGUGUUCCAAUUAUUACUAAGAGAAAUCUUCAAAUAUGGCUUGAUAUCAAAUAUGGCAGUCUAUCUGAAGCUGACAUAAUAAUACAGACAUUAGUUAAGCUAAAGUUUAUUAUAUACUCUCUUUUAGGUCCGUACUUAACUCUUUAAAGUAAUUAAUUGGAUUGUG
rnacentral:lncRNA from 1 species